rnacentral:rRNA from 1 species
AGAGUUUGAUCAUGGCUCAGAUUGAACGCUGGCGGCAGGCCUAACACAUGCAAGUCGAGCGUGAAAGUCCUUCGGGAUGAGUAAAGCGGCGGACGGGUGAGUAACGCGUAGGAAUCUACCUAAUAGUGGGGGAUAACGUUUCGAAAGGAACGCUAAUACCGCAUACGUUCUGAGGAAGAAAGCAGGGGAUCGCAAGACCUUGCGCUAUUAGAUGAGCCUGCGUCCGAUUAGCUAGUUGGUGGGGUAAAGGCCUACCAAGGCGACGAUCGGUAACUGGUCUGAGAGGAUGAUCAGUCACACUGGAACUGAGACACGGUCCAGACUCCUACGGGAGGCAGCAGUGGGGAAUAUUGGACAAUGGGGGCAACCCUGAUCCAGCCAUGCCGCGUGUGUGAAGAAGGCCUUCGGGUUGUAAAGCACUUUAAGCGGGGAGGAAGGCUCUAUGGCUAAUAUCCAUGGGGAUUGACGUUACCCGCAGAAUAAGCACCGGCAAACUUCGUGCCAGCAGCCGCGGUAAUACGAAGGGUGCGAGCGUUAAUCGGAAUUACUGGGCGUAAAGCGCGCGUAGGUGGUUUGGUAAGCGAUAUGUGAAAGCCCUGGGCUCAACCUAGGAACUGCAUGUCGAACUGUCAGGCUAGAGUAUGGUAGAGGGGUGUGGAAUUUCCUGUGUAGCGGUGAAAUGCGUAGAUAUAGGAAGGAACAUCAGUGGCGAAGGCGACACCCUGGACCGAUACUGACACUGAGGCGCGAAAGCGUGGGUAGCGAACAGGAUUAGAUACCCUAGUAGUCC